CGAGGAAGGGACGAGAAGAGGAGGGGGAGCCCCGGCGGCGGCGGCGGCUAGGGUUCCCUCCUUAUCAUUUGUGGCUAACAGAUGCAUCCGUUCUGACUAGGCAUUAUCAUGUAUUGCACCGUAGUAUCACUUUUGCAUAGGAUAAAUACCUACUUUUGCUGAAGGUUACUUCAUAAAAUUUAAUUCAUGAUGUCGUUUUGCCUGUUGUAGUACCUUCAACAUAGAAGUAGUAGUGGUCUGCUCGCCCAAGAUCUAUAACUCGUGGAUGUGCAUAGGGAGCAGAUGAAAUGGGAAUAAGAGGAUCCCCGGCGCAUGCACAAAUUCUUGCUACCUGACUGCUGACGGUGAGGAUGAGCACCGAGUUGCAAACGUGUGUCCCUUCCCCGCAAACUACAUUUCCUUUCAGUUAACCAAAUCAGCAUCUUGUUUUUUUCCUACUUUUCUCUUAUUUCUUAGAUACCUCUGACCUAUCUCGAGAAGGUCCGGGCCAUAGGAUGGCGUGUACAACGCACAACCAAUUACUCCGACAACGUAGUUGUUGUACUGGUAACAGCGGCCACAACUUUCUACACAAUCGUCACUAGCUGCGACCGUCGAUGUACCUGAUGCCGUGUAUGCCUCUCCGUCGCUUUAGUAUGCUUGGUUAUUCGGUUCUGCCGGAGCCAAGGUUCAACGCAUUUUAGUUUUGUGUGAUAGACAUAGGUUGGAUGGAUCGUCGACGACUUCAGGCUUUUGGUGCCCAUAGGUAGCAGGAUAGCAGGAUGAGUUAGAUGUGUUCUUGAGAGACCAGGUGAUGUCGUUGCUCAAAGGAGGAUGGGGAUGAAGAUGUGAACCAUCGAAUCAAAGCCGGAUGCAUGAAGUGGCGCCAAGCUUCUGGCAUUCUCUGUAACAAGAGAGUGCCACAAAAGCUAAA